rnacentral:rRNA from 1 species
UACGGAGGAUCCAAGCGUUAUCCGGAUUCAUUGGGUUUAAAGGGUGCGUAGGCGGAAUGAUAAGUCAGCGGUGAAAUCCCUCGGCUUAACCGAGGAACUGCCGUUGAUACUGUCAAUCUUGAGUACAUUUGAUGUGGGCGGAAUGUGUCAUGUAGCGGUGAAAUGCUUAGAUAUGACACAAAACACCGAUUGCGAAGGCAGCUCACAAAACUGUAACUGACGCUGAGGCACGAAAGCGUGGGUAUCAAACAGGG